rnacentral:rRNA from 1 species
GGAGGAAAAGAAACCAACUGGGAUUCCCUUAGUAACGGCGAGCGAACAGGGAAGAGUCCAGCGCCGAAUUCCGCGCUCUUUGCGGGCGUCGGAAAAUGUGGCGUUUAGGAGGGAGCGUGCCGGGAGUCUGACCUUGCAGCAAGUCCCCCUGACCGGGGCAGUUACCCAGAGUGGGUGCGAGGCCCAUAGCUGCUCGGUCUCUCUCGGAUGCGACCUCUUGGGAGUCGGGUUGCUUGGGAGUGCAACCCUAAUUGGGUGGUAAACUCCACCUAAGACUAAAUACGGCCGUGAGACCGAUAGCAAACAAGUACCGUGAGGGAAAGUUGCAAAGAACUUUGAAGAGAGAGUUCAAGAGUACGUGAAACUGCUCAGAGGCAAACGGGUGGGCCCUCGAAAUCCGUCGGCGGGGGAUUCAGUCGGGAAGUGUGGGCUCGUGCGCCAGUCGUUUCAUCGGACCCUUUCCUGGGCCGGGCUGGCGUCGCUGUCUCCGCACGACCCGACGCACUUCCUCCCGCCCUAAGGACGCCGCAGCCGGUUGGGUAGCUGCGCGAGUCGGCCAUAAGGACGGGCACGGAAGGUGGCCAGUGGCGUUCCUCGUGUUCGUCGCUGGUCGUUAUCCAGCUCGUCCGUGGCGCGACACCCGACCGAGGUCGAAAGGUCCCGGUUAGGACCUUGCCGUCCCCUCCCCCCGUGGUUGAGCGAGCGCUCCGACAGGCGAUUCCCCGUGCGGUCGUCCCACUCUCCGAGUGGACGGUCCUCGGGUGGCGCCGUUGGUAAUGGAUGCGUUUCGCGUGGGGUUCAGGCGGCUUGCGGCGAGUAGGUCGGUCACCCACCCGACCCGUCUUGAAACACGGACCAAGGAGUCUAACAUGUGCGCGAGUCACGGGGUCUUGUUCAGGCCCAGAGGCGCAAUGAAAGUGAAGGCAGGCCUCGACGCCUGCCGUGUUGGGACUCUCCGCUUGGCGGCGGAGAAGCACCAACGACCCGCCCUCUCCGAUUCAUCGGUUGGGCGGAGUGUGAGCGUACACGUUGGGACCCGAAAGAUGGUGAACUAUGCCUGGGCAGGACGAAGCCAGAGGAAACUCUGGUGGAGGUCCGUAGCGGUUCUGACGUGCAAAUCGAUCGUCAGACCUGGGUAUAGGGGCGAAAGACUAAUCGAACCAUCUAGUAGCUGGUUCCCUCCGAAGUUUCCCUCAGGAUAGCUGGCGCUCGGAGGAAUCAGUCUCAUCCGGUAAAGCGAAUGAUUAGAGGCCUUGGGGCCGAAACGACCUCAACCUAUUCUCAAACUUUAAAUGGGUGAGAAGUCCGGCUUGCAUGAUCGAAGCCCGGACAUUCAGGAUGAGAGCGCCCAGUGGGCCACUUUUGGUAAGCAGAACUGGCGCUGUGGG